rnacentral:rRNA from 1 species
UACGGAGGGUGCAAGCAUUGAUCGGAAUUACUGGGCGUAAAGGGCGCGUAGGCGGUAGAAUAAGUCGGAUGUGAAAUUCCGGGGCUCACCCCCGGAGCUGCAUUUGAAACUAUUCAACUAGAGUACAGUUAGGGUAAACGGAAUUCCACGUGGAGCGGUGAAAUGCGUAGAUAUGUGGAAGAACACCGGUGGUGAAGACGGUUUACUGGGCUGAAACUGACGCUGAGGCGCGAAAGCAUGGGGAGCAAACAGG